AGAUGUUGGGUUGUUGAUGAAUGAACAGACAUUUGCAACUCAACUCAUAUGUUAAAAUCACUCUUUCACUCUUCAGAGGCUUUGGGUUAACUGACACUUAAAUGUCAUUUGGCCUCUCAGAUUCAGGAAGUCGGGUGUAUUCCAGAGUAACAGGCUCUGACAUCUGGAGACCCUAGCAAAGCCCCUCCCAGAGUCUCUCCCCAUGGCCGACCAUCACCUAGGAUGCUUCUUUCUGGUUUUGUUUGAAGAAAGGUUCAGGAAACAAUGCUUGGGCUUCCGAGCCACAGGCUACCCUGUCUUUCUUGGAGGCCGUGAGUCCUCAUCCCUCUGCCUGAGUAGUCUCAUCCCACCGCUAGACAGGCCUCAGUGUGCUUCCCCACAUGGAGUCCUGAGUCUUCUGUCUUAUCAGGCUCCUGGCUCAGGAGAGCUCUGCAGUCCGCUAACUGGGGUGAUCCACAGAGGACGGCAGGAAGUCACACUGGAAAAGGAUUUUAAGGACACCAUUUUAACCAUAUGCCAUUUAUAAAAGAGGCAAAUGAGACCCUAAAGGACAGGACUAUUUAAAGACAGAACAGCAAUCUAGAGCUGCAACUCAGUCUCCGGGAUCCCUCCCAGUGUCUCUUGCACAUGUUAUGUAUGCUUUUGUAUCUUUGCUUAACGUCAAGGCGCGGUUGUGUUCAACUUCCUUGCUAAAUGGCUCAUUCAGGUUAUUGUGCCAUGAGCUUAUUUAUAAUUAUUAAGUCCUUACAACUGUAGCAAUCGAAUCUCUGCUCCCAGAGUGCACUGUGCUCUCUGCAGGGAGCCGAUCCGUUUUAUUCCUUCAGGGCUUAUCAUUAAUUCUCUCGUCAUCUUGAGUUUUAUUAUUCUCCUCCUUCCUCGGGCAAAAAAAUGAACCCAAGCAUUGAAUUGCUUCAUCACUACAGACAGUAAAAGUUUAACUUCAGAUGUUUUCAAGGCACGUCCAUUUCCUCCACUUCUGGCAGCGUCUGCCGCAGGCAUGCUCAGGGCCCCAUUCUUUCCCUUCCUCCUUCAUCUCCCAUCUCAAUUUACGGCCACAUUCAAUUAAGGUUUAUUGAGCAGAUGCCAUGCUGGAUGCUUUGUAUGCAUGACAUCACCGAAUCCUGACAAUGGAUUCAGUGUGCUGAAUAUCAUCAUCCCCAUUCUCUAAGAGAGAACAAAAUAUUGAGGCUCAGGAAGUGGAAGUCCCCUCCCUGGCCAGGCUUGCAGAAAGGACAGGAGUGAGCCAAAAUGAGAACAUAGGUUUUCUGCUUUGGGGGAAUUUAGGUGAAAUGAUGGUUUUAUACCCUUUUUCUGGCAGUGGACUUUUGUUGUGACCCGCUGCCUGCUAGCACCAAGAUCUGGUUACCUCUCAUUCCCGUGGGUCACUCAGACGCCUGCCAUGAAAACCCUUUCUUUCUAGUGGGGAUGGCCAGACCUGACAAGCGGACAUUUCUUCCUCCUGAAGUGGGGACAUGAAGGGAGCUGACUCAGAGCCGAGAGAGAUCCUCUUCCUCCUCCGCAGGGUCUGAUGGGGAGACCCAAGCACACUCUGGGUGGCUGCGGCUGACAGCUGAGCUGAGGGUGGGGGAGGGAGCCUGUGGUCAGAACUCCUGAAGGACCCGAGGUUGCCAGAGCAGGCUGCCUGGAGAGGUGGCCCAGAAGAAUGACAUGUGAAUCCCACAUGACUCAGCCCUCUGUGCAGGUAAUGGAACCCUAAUGAGACGCGAGCUUAUUUAAGAAAAUGCACAGGAAGAAUUCAUCAUUGAUGUGGCUAUUUUGGGAGAUGAAAGAGAGUUUGAAAAGGAGGAGCCUGUGAAAUGUUUUCCAGCUGAGGGAGUGCGAUGGGAAACAAGGUUUCCCUUCAUAAUUGAACACUAAAAAUGAAAUGUGUCCCCAUCUUUCAAGUCUGAGGAUGGACAGAGCGAGGCGUUGAGUACAGAUGUGGGCAGCUCUUUGCUUCCUGGCUAUACAGAGUGUGGUCUGGGGAUACAGGGAUUUGGGGAGGGAUUUGCUUCUUUGUUUCUUUAUUGUUGCUAAGAGAAGCCAGGCAAGCACUGUCCCCUGGGAUUGGAGACGGUGGUUCCCCAUGUCUGUGCCUAAAUGUGACACGGCUUCCCUUAUGAAAAGAGGUGUUGCUAUCUGACGUCUCUGGUUACCUCACCGCUUGGUGAGAGCGGACAUCCCUUCUAAUCACUUGCAGGGGGGUCCAUGUGGAGCCGUGAUCCGCUCUGGGAAGAUGCUUCGCAGGAAGGGUCUGUUGCCUUUGAUGAGAUGGAUCAGAUGUGGGACCGACCUGUGUUCUUUCAACUUCAGUGAAGUACCAAAGGGCAGGAGGAAGAGGCGAGUUUAAGCAAAGACAAGAUUUAAGGCCCACGAAACUACAGUCCUGGCCGCUCUGCUAAUUCCCGUUGUCCUGCGGCAGCUCUGACCAGCCUUUCUUCCAGGCCACGCAGAAAAGAGGCCCCAACACCUGACGUUGCCUUCUUGUUCCUGAAUCUCUGAUUCGGUUGCUCCCAGCCUUCCUGACUUCUGAUUCCACAGUCCAUUCACUCAGCACCUGUUCAAGAAGAGCCCCUCGGCCUCUGCUCCCUUCGCUGCCCCCCUUUUGUGACGCUCCACCUGUGGAAGCAUUUGCUUCACAUUCCCAUGCCAGUCUCCUGCUCUGGCAUCCUCCCACCGGGAACCACUUCCUCUGUCCAUCUCUCCCUGGGGUUCAGCAAUUCCUGAUGCCUUCUGAGAUAUAUUUGUUGGCAGGGAUUCUCAUAUAAAGUCCAAAUCAGUUUCUUUUCACUCUGUAGAUAUUUACUGAGACCUCUUAAUAGGCCCUAAGAGAUUCUGUGGAUACAAGUGUGCAGUUAGACCUGUCCACCGCCUUCAUGAUCUUCAUCAUUCAACCAACCUGCAAAGAAUCUUUGGAAGAGAAGUGAAGGGCAUUACAGCCAUCAAAAAGGCAAAGGGUUGUGACAAACCUCAUUUGAAAGGGAAGGCUGAGAUCUGGGUCAGGAGGAAGGAUUCAUUAGGCUGGGGAAAAAAAAAAGAAAGUGCCAAGUAGCAGGAACCAUGUGUGUCAGGGCCCUACCGCUAGAAAGAGCAGGGCGCUCCAGGGCCAGAAGGAAGAUGGUUGGGCUCCAGCACACGCAGUGCUUCAGAGGCAAUCCUGGAGUGACUUUUGCGGAAUCUUCUGGAGUGCAUGCAAGAGUCCAAAUGCCUGAUCCGCAUCUCUAAUUAUUGAAUCAGAGACUCUAGGGACGGAGCUCUGGCAGGGUUUUCACCCUUUCCACAGCCCAUUACCUUUGUGAUGUUGCUUUGCAGUUCUUCCCAGCAGAGGUGGGGUCUCUCUAUGACCUUUGGAUCAGGGCUGGCCUUGUGACUCAGUGAGAACAACAACAGAAUAAGGGGCAGUGUUCUCAUGUCAAUCACGAGCCCAAGACUCAGGAGGUAGAGUAGGAUUCUGCACUCUCUCUUGGAACCUGCUGCCAUCACAUAGGCAACAGCAGGCCAGCAUGCUUCAGAAUGAGGAGCCACAUGGAAUGGGGCCCACGUGUCCCUCUAGGCCACCCAGCCUGUAGCAAGCUAUCCCCUAACAUGUGAGUGAGGCCAGCUUCCCUGACCCACGACAGGCGUCAAAAGUCCAGAGACCAGUACGCGAACCCUGUAAUCAUUUGAAUAAAAUCAACUUAUUAAGCCAUUGAAUGUGGGGUG
rnacentral:lncRNA from 1 species